GAUCUGUGGUGUGACUGACUCCUCCUAUUCGUGUGUCUGUUUGUUUACAAAAAAAUACAAAGAGAAAGCGAGAGAAAACAGGAACCCUCAAUCAAAUGGGCUUUAAUAUGGCACCACCUGCUGACAGUAUCCAAACUGCACUGACCUGAUUCACACUAACAGCCAGACAGCUGCUCUGUGCUACUAGCCAAUAGAGCAGCAUGCUACAAAGUACAAUGUGCAGUCACGUGGGCUUUGAAUGAUUU